rnacentral:lncRNA from 1 species
CGUAAUAAAGAAAGAAGGGCUCUGCAAUAUAUAUAUGUAACGCUUACGGUAAUACUGCAGUAAUUUAUUUUUCUAUGAUAACGGUGCCUCUUUGUCCUUCAGGGUAGGGAUAAGAUCUGUAUACAUAUAUUUUUUCCGAACUCUACUUGUGAGAUUAUACUGUACCGUUGUUGUUGAUAAUGGUGGCGUUGAAUAGGAUACAGACUAUGAGCUAAAAACCAUUGGAGUGCACUCAAUAUACAUCAUUUACAAUUAAUAGAAGGUUCUCUUAAAGUAACAACUCUAGGAACCAAAGAGAAGGGCUACCUACUAAUGAUGUACAGAUUUUAGAAAGAGAGGCUCAUGAAAAAACUUGUUCUUGUACCAAUGGGGUUAAAUUAGCAAAUUGGAUAGCUUUCUUGUUCGGACACAAUGUAGGCAUGAGAGGAGACAAUCACGGAGGAGAACUUCACCAGAUAUAUGGUGGAAUAGUCGAGUUAUGCGUACAAGCUUGCCCAGUACAUUAUUCCUAGUGUCAGUCAAUUAAGAUUCGCCAUCAAGAGAGGGAAGAGCCUUGAUUUUAGGUUAGGCCGGUCGCAUCAUUCACGCAAUUCCCCCGUCCAUCGAUUGAUCACGCGAGUACGCAUCCAGUCAGCACAUAGCGAAUGACUUUAUAACUUUUUUUUUUUACUGAGAAGUAACAUUAGAACAAAGCUCAAUGGACCCAUAAUCCAGCAGUUCUUCCAUUAUUUGUUUUAUGUGAUCAUCUAAAAGUGGCUUCACAAAUUGUGGUAUGCUCUCCACAUCAUGUGUCAAUACUGAUGGAUUUGGCACUACCAUUUGUUGUUUCAUUUCAUAGGCAAUAUGUGUUGGUUGUUAGUUGACUCGUAUUUAUAAAUAUUAAUUCUUGUAAAUAUAAACAAAACAAUAAUUAAUUUGAGGCCACCGAAUUAAUAGUGUUUCCUUAAGGAAUUUAAUCCCCUCCUAAUAUUCAAGGUUAUGGCUAUUUCCUCCCACGAUAGAAUGAAUUACAUACUGGUGUAGUGGUAUUUCAAACCCCAGUGUUUACGCGAACAUAAAGUUCGAUAGUAAAUCACAUUACGAUUGCUUUAUUGUAGUUUAAAAACAAUACAGAAUAAGGGAGGAGAACUUAGAAGUCGAAUGAAAAUUUUGAGAGGAAGAAAUGCAAAGUAUAGCCAAUGUUGAGUGAUAAUAGAACAGGAAAUCAGAUUGCUCGUGUCGUUGCUUUCUGUUUUCUG